CCUACGGGAGGCAGCAGUCGAGAAUCAUUCACAAUGGGGGAAACCCUGAUGGUGCGACGCCGCGUGGGGGAAUGAAGGUCUUCGGAUUGUAAACCCCUGUCAUGUGGGAGCAAAUUAAAAAGCUCGUACCCCAAGAGGAAGAGACGGCUAACUCUGUGCCAGCAGCCGCGGUAAUACAGAGGUCUCAAGCGUUGUUCGGAAUCACUGGGCGUAAAGCGUGCGGAGGCUGUUUCGUAAGUCGUGUGUGAAAGGCGCGGGCUCAACCCGCGGACGGCACAUGAUACUGCGAGACUAGAGUAAUGGAGGGGGAACCGGAAUGCUCGGUGUAGCAGUGAAAUGCGUAGAUAUCGAGAGGAACACUCGUGGCGAAGGCGGGUUCCUGGACAUUAACUGACGCUGAGGCACGAAGGCCAGGGGAGCGAAAGGGAUUAGAUACCCUGGUAGUC
rnacentral:rRNA from 1 species